UCGCCCGCCGCGCGCGGCGGGCGGGGCGGGGGCACGGGGGGCCUACGGGAGGCAGCAGUGAGGAAUACUGCACAAUGGAGGAAACUCUGAUGCAGCAACGCCGCGUGGAGGAUGACGCAUUUCGGUGUGUAAACUCCCUUUAAGAGGGAAGAUUAUGACGGUACCUCUUGAAUAAGCACCGGCUAACUCCGUGCCAGCAGCCGCGGUAAUA
rnacentral:rRNA from 1 species